rnacentral:misc_RNA from 1 species
GAUGAAGAACGCAGCAAAAUGCGAUAAGUAAUGCGAAUUGCAGAAUUCAGUGAAUCAUCGAAUCUUUGAACGCACAUUGCGCCCGCCAGUAUUCUGGCGGGCAUGCCUGUUCGAGCGUCAUUUCAACCCUCAAGCACAGCUUGGUGUUGGGACUCGCGUUAAUUCGCGUUCCCCAAAUUGAUUGGCGGUCACGUCGAGCUUCCAUAGCGUAGUAGUAAAACCCUCGUUACUGGUAAUCGUCGCGGCCACGCCGUUAAACCCCAACUUCUGAAUGUUGACCUCGGAUCAGGUAGGAAUACCCGCUGAACUUAAGCAUAUCAAUAAGCGGAGGA